rnacentral:rRNA from 14 species
CCUAGUACGAGAGGACCGGAGUGGACGAACCUCUGGUGUUCCGGUUGUGAUGCCAAUUGCAUUGCCGGGUAGCUACGUUCGGACAGGAUAACCGCUGAAAGCAUCUAAGCGGGAAGCCCCCCUCAAGAUUAGAUCUCACUGGAGCUUUAAGCUCCCUAAAGGACCCUCGAAGACUACGAGGUUGAUAGGUUGGAUGUGUAAGUGCUGCGAGGCAUUGAGCUAACCAAUACUAAUUGUCCGU